GGGUUGUGAGGUUAAGCGACUAAGCGUACACGGUGGAUGCCCUGGCAGUCAGAGGCGAUGAAGGACGUGCUAAUCUGCGAAAAGCGUCGGUAAGGUGAUAUGAACCGUUACAGCCGGCGAUGUCCGAAUGGGGAAACCCAGUGUGAUUCGUCACACUAUCGUUAACUGAAUACAUAGGUUAACGAGGCGAACCGGGGGAACUGAAACAUCUAAGUACCCCGAGGAAAAGAAAUCAACCGAGAUUCCCCCAGUAGCGGCGAGCGAACGGGGAGCAGCCCAGAGUCUGAAUCAGCUUGUGUGUUAGUGGAACGGUCUGGAAAGUCCGACGGUACAGGGUGAUAGUCCCGUACACCAAAAUGCACAGGCUGUGAACUCGAAGAGUAGGGCGGGACACGUGGUAUCCUGUCUGAAUAUGGGGGGACCAUCCUCCAAGGCUAAAUACUCCUGACUGACCGAUAGUGAACCAGUACCGUGAGGGAAAGGCGAAAAGAACCCCGGCGAGGGGAGUGAAAAAGAACCUGAAACCGUGUACGUACAAGCAGUGGGAGCACCUUCGGGUGUGACUGCGUACCUUUUGUAUAAUGGGUCAGCGACUUAUAUUCUGUAGCAAGGUUAACCGUAUAGGGGAGCCGCAGGGAAACCGAGUCUUAACUGGGCGUUAAGUUGCAGGGUAUAGACCCGAAACCCGGUGAUCUAGCCAUGGGCAGGUUGAAGGUUGGGUAACACUAACUGGAGGACCGAACCGACUAAUGUUGAAAAAUUAGCGGAUGACUUGUGGCUGGGGGUGAAAGGCCAAUCAAACCGGGAGAUAGCUGGUUCUCCCCGAAAGCUAUUUAGGUAGCGCCUCGUGAAUUCAUCUUCGGGGGUAGAGCACUGUUUCGGCUAGGGGGUCAUCCCGACUUACCAACCCGAUGCAAACUACGAAUACCGAAGAAUGUUAUCACGGGAGACACACGGCGGGUGCUAACGUCCGUCGUGAAGAGGGAAACAACCCAGACCGCCAGCUAAGGUCCCAAAGUCAUGGUUAAGUGGGAAACGAUGUGGGAAGGCACAGACAGCCAGGAUGUUGGCUUAGAAGCAGCCAUCAUUUAAAGAAAGCGUAAUAGCUCACUGGUCGAGUCGGCCUGCGCGGAAGAUGUAACGGGGCUAAACCAUGCACCGAAGCUGCGGCAGCGACACUAUGUGUUGUUGGGUAGGGGAGCGUUCUGUAAGCCUGCGAAGGUGACCUGUGAGGGUUGCUGGAGGUAUCAGAAGUGCGAAUGCUGACAUAAGUAACGAUAAAGCGGGUGAAAAGCCCGCUCGCCGGAAGACCAAGGGUUCCUGUCCAACGUUAAUCGGGGCAGGGUGAGUCGACCCCUAAGGCGAGGCCGAAAGGCGUAGUCGAUGGGAAACAGGUUAAUAUUCCUGUACUUGGUGUUACUGCGAAGGGGGGACGGAGAAGGCUAUGUUAGCCGGGCGACGGUUGUCCCGGUUUAAGCAUGUAGGCUGGUUAUCCAGGCAAAUCCGGAUAAUCAAGGCUGAGGUGUGAUGACGAGGCACUACGGUGCUGAAGUAACAAAUGCCCUGCUUCCAGGAAAAGCCUCUAAGCAUCAGGUAACAUCAAAUCGUACCCCAAACCGACACAGGUGGUCAGGUAGAGAAUACCAAGGCGCUUGAGAGAACUCGGGUGAAGGAACUAGGCAAAAUGGUGCCGUAACUUCGGGAGAAGGCACGCUGGUGUGUAGGUGAAGCCCCUGCGGGUGGAGCUGAGACCAGUCGAAGAUACCAGCUGGCUGCAACUGUUUAUUAAAAACACAGCACUGUGCAAACACGAAAGUGGACGUAUACGGUGUGACGCCUGCCCGGUGCCGGAAGGUUAAUUGAUGGGGUUAUCCGUAAGGAGAAGCUCUUGAUCGAAGCCCCGGUAAACGGCGGCCGUAACUAUAACGGUCCUAAGGUAGCGAAAUUCCUUGUCGGGUAAGUUCCGACCUGCACGAAUGGCGUAAUGAUGGCCAGGCUGUCUCCACCCGAGACUCAGUGAAAUUGAACUCGCUGUGAAGAUGCAGUGUACCCGCGGCAAGACGGAAAGACCCCGUGAACCUUUACUAUAGCUUGACACUGAACAUUGAGCCUUGAUGUGUAGGAUAGGUGGGAGGCUUUGAAGCGUGGACGCCAGUCUGCGUGGAGCCAACCUUGAAAUACCACCCUUUAAUGUUUGAUGUUCUAACGUUGGCCCCUUACCGGGGUUGCGGACAGUGUCUGGUGGGUAGUUUGACUGGGGCGGUCUCCUCCCAAAGCGUAACGGAGGAGCACGAAGGUUAGCUAAUCCUGGUCGGACAUCAGGAGGUUAGUGCAAUGGCAUAAGCUAGCUUGACUGCGAGCGUGACGGCGCGAGCAGGUGCGAAAGCAGGUCAUAGUGAUCCGGUGGUUCUGAAUGGAAGGGCCAUCGCUCAACGGAUAAAAGGUACUCCGGGGAUAACAGGCUGAUACCGCCCAAGAGUUCAUAUCGACGGCGGUGUUUGGCACCUCGAUGUCGGCUCAUCACAUCCUGGGGCUGAAGUAGGUCCCAAGGGUAUGGCUGUUCGCCAUUUAAAGUGGUACGCGAGCUGGGUUUAGAACGUCGUGAGACAGUUCGGUCCCUAUCUGCCGUGGGCGCUGGAGAAUUGAGGGGGGCUGCUCCUAGUACGAGAGGACCGGAGUGGACGCAUCACUGGUGUUCGGGUUGUCAUGCCAAUGGCACUGCCCGGUAGCUAAAUGCGGAAGAGAUAAGUGCUGAAAGCAUCUAAGCACGAAACUUGCCCCGAGAUGAGUUCUCCCUGAGACUUUAAGUCUCCUGAAGGAACGUUGAAGACGACGACGUUGAUAGGCCGGGUGUGUAAGCGCAGCGAUGCGUUGAGCUAACCGGUACUAAUGAACCGUGAGGCUUAACCUUACAACGCCGAAG
rnacentral:rRNA from 1 species